rnacentral:rRNA from 1 species
GUAGGGUGCAAGCGUUAAUCGGAAUUACUGGGCGUAAAGCGUACGCAGGCGGCUUUGCAAGACAGGUGUGAAAUCCCCGGGCCUAACCUGGGAACUGCAUUUGUGACUGCAUGGCUAGAGUCUGUCAGAGGGGGGUGGAAUUCCACGUGUAGCAGUGAAAUGCGUAGAGAUGUGGAAGAACACCGAUGGCGAAGGCAGCCCCCUGGGAUAAGACUGACGCUCAUGUACGAAAGCGUGGGGAGCAAACAGGAUUAGAUACCCUGGUAGUCCACGCCCUAAACGAUGUCUACUAGUUGUCGGGGGGUAACACCUUCGGUAACGCAGCUAACGCGUGAAGUAGACCGCCUGGGGAGUACGGUCGCAAGAUUAAA